AUGCAGUUUAGUGUGUCCCACUUUGCAUGGAGUGGGCUUUGAGGUUUCAAAAGACUCUGCCUAAAAUUUUGUGAAACAAUAUAUGAGUUUUCAGCUGCUUCUUGUCUCCAUUAUCAUGGACUCUAUGCUUCUGAAACUGUGCAUGAGGAGGCCAGAAAAGGGUUCCCCUGUACUGGAAUUAUAGGCAGUUGUAAGCCACUUGACAAGGAUGUCUGAAACUGAACUGCCACGCCAUCUCUCCAGCCCAAAUUGUAAAGUUGUUUUGGUUUGUUUGCUUGGUAAGAUUUACUUAUAUUUUAUAUGUAUGAGUCCUCGUCCCUGCACAAAUGUAUAUGCACUGUCUUAUUUAUCUAAUGCUGUGCUAAGAGACACCAAGGCAAUCAGUAAGUAUUUAAUUUAGUUUAUGAUUUUAGAUAGUUAGAAUUCAUGAUGGUAGAACAAAGGCAUGAUAUCAGGAAUGUCUGAGAGCUUACAUCAUGAUCUGUAAGUAGAAGGCAGAAAGAGCUAAGUAGGAAUGACAUAUCUUGAAACUUCAAUGCCCAGCCUCAGUGACACACCUCCAACAUUAUGACUGCUAAUCCUUCCCAAACAGUUCCACCACCUGGGAACCUGUGGGGGCCGUUGUCAUUCAAACCAUGCACCACGAACAUGCACCAUAUAUGUGCAACGCCCAAAGAGACCAGAAUAAACAUAUCAAAUCCUCUGGAAUUGGAGUUACAAUCUAGUAUUAGCUCAAGUGGGUACUGGGACUCAAACCUGGGUCCUUUGAAAAUGCUCUUAACAGCUGAGCUGUCUCUCCAACUCCAAUUGUAAAUUUUUAAAAUAUUUUUUGUUUUGGUUUUUGAAGACACAGUUUCUCUAUGUAACCCUGGCUGUCCUGGAGCUCUCUCUGUAGACCAAGCUGGCCUCAAACACACCUGACUUUGUCUCCCAAAUGCUGGGAAUUAAGAGCAGCGUGGGCCACCACUCCCUAGAAUCCAAUUGUAAAAAUUUUAAAGUGCAAGCAAAUGCUAUAUUUUGUGCAGAAUUCAGAAAUUUAGAAAACUAUAUUUAAAAAUAUAAACUAUAUUUUAAAAAUAUUUUUAAAAACAUGUACUUAUUGACUCGGUCAAAAAUAAAUUAGGAAAAAAAUAAGAAACUAAUGUAUUUGAUCACACAAGAUAGGUGAGAAUAGGAUCAAAACCUAAAAUGACAGAAUUGAUGUGAAUCAAAGGAUGAAGUGCCAUAUUUCUCUAAGAACACAUUUCUGCAUACACAUGUAUUUAACAGAAAUAAAUGGGUGGCCUGGGAUAGCAUUCUGAUAUGUUCUCAGCAUAUGCAGUGCUAAGGAGGCAGGAGGUGGGAGAGCUGUAAAAUGGCACAUGAAAGCAAAUGACAGCUGAGUGUGGUGGCUCACAACCAUAAUCUCAGUACUUGGGAGAUAAGGAAGAGAACUGGUGAAUAUUUGAGGCUACUCUUGGCUAUAAAACUCCAAGUCUGCUUUGAUACAAACUGAGACCUCAUUUCAAAACAAACUGAAAGUUUGUUUCAAACAAAUAACACCAUCACCCAAAAGAAGAAAAAAAUAACUCUUACAUAGUAUGAGACUAUAUAAACUCAGCUAAAGACAAUAUUUUUUAAAUUUUCUUUUACUUUUUUUUUUUUUUUUUUUUUGAGAAAUUGGCACAUUAUAUAGCCUAGGCAGGUCUUGAACUCUGAUCUGCUUGCCUCAGACUCUCACCCCCAGCACUCAAAUUAGAGGCACACACAGCCCAAAUUGAAUCUAUACAAUUAGUGAACCCUAGUUAGGGGGCUUUUCCUAUAGUUGGUAUAUAUACCAGAGUUGAAUAAUGGGACAUAGAUUCUCCACAGUUACAGCAGGAAAUUAUAAAUAGAAAAGAACAUGAUUAGAAUGAACUCUAUACUGUGGUUAGCGAGAAUUAAAGGGCAGUAUCAGAAUGAGGUCACAGUUUAUACCAUAUAGAGAAGCUGUAUAGUGUACACAUGAAAAGGGGUUUUUAUCCUAAUAAUGCCAGCUGUCAAGUACAGCAAUAAUGUAAGUAUUAAAUACUAAGACUCCAGGUUCUAGAUACCAUUCAUCACUGAAUGGAAUCAGUAGACAUGGUAUAUACAUGGUAUAUUGUAGGCAAAGCAGCCUACGAUAAGUUUUUUGUUGAGCUAAUAUAUAGAAAUGCUCAAACAAAAAUACAUUAUGUUGGCUUUUUGUCUCAUGGUGAUAGGGAUUGAACCCAAGGGCUGCACACACUUCAUAACCAACCACUGAGCUAUAUGCCCUAUCCUUUUUACAUUUUGAGAAAGGUUUUCCCUAGGUUGUCCAAGCUAGUUUUGUAACUUCCAAUCCUUCUGCCUCAGUUCUUUAACUGAGUUUGCUCACAGUCUGGGAAAUGGAUCAAGUUAUCUCAUUAAACUAGCAGUUCAAAACAUCACAAUUACUCUCAAUAGCCAAGAAACUGUGUUACACAAGAAAAACAAACAGAAAACCAAUUUUAAACCAGGAAACAAUUUGCCUAUGCAAAUAAAAUAUGAUCUGGCUGUCAAUCUUCAAAAGAGAAUUUAACACUUUCCAAGUUUAAAAUACUGUUUAACACAUUUACAAUAAAAUUCAAGGUUUUCACUGUCUUCCAUACUAUGGAAUUUCUGCCAUUUUCAUCCUCAUAGGCACCUCAGAAAAUCUUGUUUCUUCUGCCCAACUGUUCCUCCAUGCAGCUUUCUCCAUUAUAUGAUUCAAGUAGCAGCCUGAAAUGCACUACCUGAAAAAGGAGCACACCUUGACUACCUUACCUGGAGGACUUUAUGUCCCUUCACAGCACUUUACUUCUCAGCAUGACUAUCCAACUUUAUGAUAUGUACUUUAUGUGAGGUCCCCUGUCUGUCUCUCCCACUACAGUAUAAAGUCUACUUGGGUUAGGAUACUGUCUUUAGUUGCUGCAAUAUAUGCAACAUUUAAACAAUAAAAGAAAAACAAGUAAACAAGUAUCACACUGAAAAAGAAGUAUUAUCCUUGAGUCUCCAAUGUGCGUCUGGCAAACACCAACUCAUCCUCCAAAUCCUUACUCCAGGUUACUGUCUCUAAAAUGCUUCCUUUACCCAUCUCCUAGGAAGGGAGGACUUCUGUUUUUUCAUGAGCAACAUCAGAUUGCAUUUCGUAAGCAAAGAGCAGACAAAAGUUCAAAUAGGCUGAGCAAGAGAACUUCAGUGCUCAAGAAUCUUCUCAGUUAAAAAAUAUAGGGGAUGAGCAAACAGUAAAUAUUUAAAGUACUGUCUUAAAAACCAUGCUUGCUGUAUAGCCUCAGACUAGGGAUUGCCUCAAUUUUCAUUAAUUACAUGGAUUAUGGACAUUUAACCCUCCCAAGAACACUGUAAAAUCAGAUAUUAAUACCAAUGUCUGCAUCUUAUUGAUAGAAAACCUGUUGUUUAUGGCAGUUACCUAGUUACCCAGUUAAGUAACAGAGCCAGGGUUUAGAUAACCGACCUAGAACCUGCCUGAGCAUUGGGCACACUGUCUUCUUUGUAUGGCAAAUCAAAAGAGGGACAAUUGUUGCAAACCUACUGUGAAUAUACAUGCUUGUUAGAAAAGUAGGUUAUCAAAAGGCCACUCACUCUGUUAGCCACCAGAAAGAUCUUUUUUCCUUUUCCCAAGUAUGUUUUACCUUCUUUCUUGUCCCAUCCCUAUCCCCAAAUCAUAUUAAUAUAGAAACAGAUAUGUGCCACUUACCUUAACAAGAACCCAAAGACUUAUUCUUUCGGAUCCACAAGGUCUCUAAUCCAGAACUACUCACAAUAAUUAAUUCUUCCCUCUGCUAGAGGAAAAAGCAACAAUGCUGAACAUGACUGCAAGCUUACCUUUUUUUUUUUUAACAGCAGGUCAUUUAAAUAAUGUCCCAUGCACGCUCCAAUCCAGACAUCAUCCUUCAGCAAAUUUUUUUCAUUCUAAUGUUUCCUUAUACCGUUUCUCCUUCAAGAAGCAGUUUCUUUCUGACAUGCUCUACACAAAAUAACAAGAAUUCUUCUAGCUGGGAGAUUUUAAGUUCAGAACAAAGCCCUAGGCCUUGUUUUUCUCCUGCUACUUCUUUUUGUAUCCCUUAAUUUUUGCUGCAAAGACGGGGAAGGGUCUUCUGUAGUUUAGGCUGGCUUUGAAUUCUCUAUCCCUUGCCUCUACCUUCCAAACGCUCAGGUGACUGAUAAGACAUUAUAAUUUUAACUUCUGAGAUGAAGGAUUCAUUCCUUGCUCACUAAAAACUGCAGGAAUCCGAUACAUGAAUGCAAAGUUACAUAGGACCAAGAUUGCUAAAAAUAAAUGACUAUGGAAUGCUUUGAGCAAACAAGAGUCGGCAGAUUCCGGGGCAACACAACUAAUCUCCGCCCUUAAGGCUGAGGGAGGGUCCUCCCAUUGCCCAUGGUUCUCUAGACAUUCAGGAAGGCUACAGACUACAUUCGAGCCUGGUUCCAUUACUACCUCCAGGACAGUCUUACAGGCUCUCCUCUCAACUUUUCGUUGACCGUGACAACAAGGGAGCCGCGCCCGGCCCCGACCCUCUCACCGCCAAGAACCGCGAGGACCGCUGCUCCCUUACUCCGCUGCCCGGGGCGGCACUUCCGGUGACUGGACCCUCAAGCCGGACCUUCCGGGGCCGUGCACUCCGGGAGCCCGUUCGGUCUCACCUCUUCUUAGGGAACGAAAGUGGGGCCGAGAGACGAAGAGGCCGAGAGGUCAGCAAGCCAACCGCAGGAUACCAACCUGGAGAACCCAUCCACCCGCGUUACAAGGCCAACGCAAAUCGCCCUCACCAGCUGGGUCUGGGAGGCGUAGCCACGCCUCAAAGUACGUAACCACCGCAGAGCCUGAACGCGCCUGCGCCCUGGAUCUUUUGGGUCCCCAAACUACCUUUUCACCUCCUGGAAUUUGAGAUUCCAGAGCAGGCCUAUACUGUGGUACUCACAAUUGAAACUGUACCCGACGCCCCGUACUGUGCUCUGGACUUCUGUUUUCUUUCUCCACAGCUCUUCAAAUCAGGAGUCAGGAAUAGCGUCUCAAGGAUAGAUGCUGCGGACCUAGAUUAAAUAUCCUGAAAAGCAGGAGAAGUGAAGAAUUCUCUGCAGAGCUAUCACUCACGCAUGCAGAGGAGAAGGAUGAGAAGCUUUGAAAGGGGAGCAGCAGCGUGGCCUUUUUGCGUGGAGAAAGCAGCGGGGAAACAGUGUUGGAAGGAUUUCUGUGCUUUCUGAUUGCGAUUCUAGGAGGGAGAAUUGAGAUUUGGAAAAAACAAAAAAGAAUAGUCAACAUCCUCCUUCCUUGGAAAAAAAAAAGGAUGUAGGCCGGCGAGAUGGCUCCUGUUGGGAGUGAGGAGUGGAGAGUGCUUAUUGCUCAAACCUGGCCACCUGAAUUUGAUCCCUGGAACCAAUGUCAAAAGUGGAAAGAAAAAACUGACCGCAAAAGUUGUCUUCUGGCAGGCAUAAGCAACAAUAAGUUUCCGGAGGCAAGAAGAGCAAAUUAUUGAAACUGAGCUGUGUGUGUUCCAGCACUUCAUCAAGCAGAGAAGACUGCAAAUGACCCGUGUGUCCAGACGCUACUGUCUUCUUACGUGUAUAAGUUGGAACAGAGGAACAGAGGAACAGAGGGGGACCCAAAAUAGAGAUGUUCCCGCUCGGUUUCGAACCGAGGACCUCUCGCGUGUGAGGCGAGCGUGAUAACCACUACACUACGGAAACACAACGGUCUUUACUUCACAGAGAAGGAAAUUCAUCUAGUCAGAAGUGUCCUGAAACAGAUUUCCACUAACAGAAGGCUUGAGGAUAACACCUGAGGUCAGUUCACAUUUCAAGAGAAUCAAAAUUGUUCCCUCUUGCUAAACUGAAUGCAGGUGAGACUGAGAACUGGAUGAGGAUGGUGUAGAGGACUGUGCAUGGUGCAGGGGAGGCUGGGAAUUUGGUGGACUGUGCAUGGUGCAGGGGAGGCUGGGAAUUUGGUGGACUGUGGAUAGGGCAGGGGAGGCUGGGAAUUUGGUGGACUGUGCAUGGUGCAGGGGAGGCUGGGAAUUUGGUGGACUGUGCAUGGUGCAGGGGAGGCUGGGAAUUUGGUGGACUGUGCAUAGGGCAGGGGAGGCUGGGAAGGGGUGGUCAGGAGCAGAGGGAUGGGAGGAUUGACGUAAUGUCUCUUUCCACAUUUGAUAAAUACGUCUGUCUUGAUGAAGGAGGAACACCAUCUCAGUCAGCCUCUGAGGCCUGCAUGCAGCAUUAAUACAGAGGUUCCUGUAUGGACAGAACAGUGUUCUGAAAUGCAGUAUAGUCCCUGAGAGGAAGGUCACAGGGCAAGCUAUAUUUUAUCACGAUUCAUCCCUGAGCAGUUGGUGACAUCUGGACUUUUCCACUGAAGUUUCACAAUGGCCAAAGUCUCAAGCUUAAAAGUAAGAAAUUACGUUAGGAGUCUUCCUAAUGACUAAGAGGAAUAGGAAAGUAAAUGCCAGGCUGUCACUCAACAUCCAAGGUAUCGCUUUAGAGAUUCAAAGAUGAAUGGGUUUUUGGAGCUUCACCCUGAUUCCAUUCAACAGGUGUUUGCCUGUUGUAGAUAUUAAGACAGUUUGAGGAAUAACUGUACUAGGAUACCUGGUACCAAUGUGCUUGAAAGCAGGAAGCAGAGUAUGAACUCAUAAAUGCUUUGCCCCUGCACCAGUCACACAGGGGCUAUUAGAAAGGUGGAAGUGGGCAAUCCAAACAGUGGCAUUGACCUGGGGAUUUGUACCCAGGAACACAUCUCCUCUUCCAACUUUGGAGACAGCAGCUGAUGCAGAAGCCACAGGGGAGUGCUGCUUACUAACUUGUUCCCCAUGGCUUGCUCAGCCUCUUUCUAGUAAAACUCAGGACUGCCUGCCCAGGGAUAGCACCACUCACCAUGGACCAGGUCCUCUUCCAUCACUUAGAAGAUGCCCUUCAGGCUUGUCUACAAACCCAUCUCAUGGAAGCAGUUUCUUGAGAGUCCAUCCUCUCAGAUGACUUCAACCUGUGUUGACAUAAGACUAUCCAGUGUAUUCACCAAUGAUACAAUGUAGAAUUCUAACACACUAGGAAAACAAAAGCAAGUGUCUCAGAAUUUUCAGAUUUCUGGCUUGUUACUUUUUGACAAUGUAUGCCAGAUAAUAUAGUAUUUACAUUGUGACAUUUAGAACAUAUUCUGAACAUUCUUUACACUGUAUAAUCCAAAUCACUAAGAUACUGUUUAAUUAAUAAAAUACACUAAGUAUUUGUAAUGGUUUGUAUAUGUUCUGCCCAGGGAGUUGCAAGAUUAGAUGUGGCCCUGUUGGAGUAGGUGUGUCACUGUGGGUGUGGGUUAAAAGACUUUCAUCUAGCUGCCUGGAAGUCAGUGUUCUCCUAACAGCCUUCAGAUGAAGAUGUAGAACUCUCAGCGACUCCUGCACCCAUGCCUGCCUGGACUCUGCCAUGUUCCUGCCUUGAUGAAUCUCUGAAUCUAUAAGCCAGCUCCAGUUAAAUGUCCUUAUAAGAGUUGCCUUGGUCAUAGUGUCUGUUCACAGCAGUAAAACCCUAACAAAGAUAGAAUUGUAGUGCAAAGAACUACAUCGUACAAGAACAGUCAAUGAAAAACACAAUUUAAGAUUCAAGUCUUCCAUUUUUUAAAACAAACUUGAACUCUACUAUCCUACAAGGCCACAAAACAGCCAGAAGAGAGAAAAGCUGCUGGGAGGUUCAAAUUCCAGUCUCCCUUUCAGGCCUGUGUGUGCUUGGUUGAAGGGGCUCUAGCCGACCAGAGCAUGGGAAACAUGUUUUGCCCUUUUGCCCUUGUUCUCUCCCUGUUACAUUCCUCAAGCUAGCCCCCAAGGUAUAGUCCCUUAUUUGACCACUGACUCAUCCCUGAGACAAAAGCACUUAGGCUACCAAAUUAAAAUUCCUUAUUCGGCUAAUCUAUCUAACCAGGAUUUACCAACUCACUCUAGCACAGACUCACAUCCAUAUCGCCCCCUAGCGGCAGGAGGGUCUCAUUUCUCAGGUCUACUUGAGCUACUGCAUAGUGUUUAGUCCUGACUGACCAGAUGCAUCCACUUCCCCACAAAAGCCCCUCUCCCUCCGUUGGUUAUGAGCGGUGGUAGCUUGUUUCUACCCGCACUGCAACAGUUGUUUAUCAAAGAAAAUUGAGCAGGAUGAGCUGCUGUUUUUGUGUUCAUUCUUGGAGGAGAGGUUUAAAACAAAGCCAAGAGUCCUCACAUGGACACUCUCCUUGCAGUGCGUUGCUGCCUAUGGUGGACAAGUGCCAGUUUAUUUUUUCCUUCAGAAACCUUUUGCACCUCCCCCCCAGACCUUCCCAGUGUGAUUUAAUGUAAUGCAAGUCAUAACCAAGCUUUCUGAUGAACUUCUCAGAAAGCAGCUUUCUGAAGAUACUCUUGACAUGGGUGGGUCACAAUGAUUGUCAGUGAUCUUAAUGUCGAUGACAUCUACUGGCCUCCAUAAUGUUUGUCUACCCUCCAGCUUCUCAGCUUAGCUGAUGUAGACGGCCUUUUGUUUUUAGUUCUUUUACAUGUAUUUACUAGAGGGUAGGAGAGGAGAGAGUGCUCUGGCUUCAUUGUGGGAAUCAGGGCAAACGCAGGAGAUGGUUCUCUCCUUCUACCAUGAGUUCUACCAGAGAACAAACUCAGCUCAUCAGGUUUGGUGACAAGUGCUUUUACAUGCUGAGUCCUUUCACUGACAAGUUCAAAUCCCUGACCUCAAGGGGAGGAGCCUGGAAACAGCUUAUUGGAAAAUUCUACGGGUCUGAUUUCCAAACAGAAAGCCAGGAGUCUGACUCUGAUAGGAACAAUCUGCCAGUUAUCUCAGCACUUUGAGGGGGAGGUACAAUUGAGAAUUCAUCCUGUUCACAAAGGCAGGCCUAUCUUUAAGUAAGGAAGUGAACAACAGAAAACACCUUAAUCCAAUUGAAUUCAUUUCCAUUUGGCCCGGUGCACCCCACUGACCCUUAGUACACAGGCAGCCAUCACUAACUCAAACUUUUCCUUAGAUAGAUCAGAUUGGGACAUAAGGUUCCAAUACUGUUAUGAGAGAGCUAGCCUAGGAAUCUUUCAGUAGCAAAUGGCUUAAACAAAGUGGUUUUAUUAUCACACUCACAAACAUGGAGACAGAAAUGACAGUGGUUACUGCAGUGUCUCCUGAUGUCAUUGGGACCUGUGCUCCUCCUGAUGACAUGGGCUCCUAACACUCACCUGGCAGUUCACAACUGUCAGUGUCAGGGGAUGUAAGUCCCACUGUGCACAGACGCAUAUGAGGGUAACCACCAUACAUAGAAGAAAAAGGUUUUCUAAAAAUCAAUUAAAAAACAGAGCAAGGCUAGGCAGUGGUGGUACAUGCCUUUAAUCCCAGCACUCAAGAGGCAGAGGAAGAGGCAGAGGCAGGCAGAUCUCUGUGAGCUCAAGUACAGCCUAGACUACAAAGCAAGGUCCAGAACAGCCAGGAUGGUUGGUCACACAGAGAAAGGUAGUCAGGAGAAACCUAUAUAAAUUAAAAAUGAGAGCACUCUUCCUUAUAUUUAGCCCACAUCAACCUGUAACUAAUUUCCAGGGGUAGCCAUCACAUAAACUAAUCCAUGGCCCAUAUUGCCAACUGAGACUCAGCACAUAUGGGCACAAUGACCUUAAUUGCACACGCCACACUGCUAGCCAGGAGUCAGCUAGCUUUGGCUGUAACUCCACAGCACAGGUCCUACAACUAGUAAUG